rnacentral:rRNA from 1 species
CAGUCGCCGCGGGAAUACGAAGGGGGCUAGCGUUGCUCGGAAUGACUGGGCGUAAAGGGCGCGUAGGCGGCGAUCAAAGUCAGGCGUGAAAUUCCUGGGCUCAACCUGGGGGCUGCGCUUGAUACUUGGUUGCUUGAGUGGGGAAGAGGGUCGUGGAAUUCCCAGUGUAAAGGUGAAAUUCGUAGAUAUUGGGAAGAACACCGGUGGCGAAGGCGGCAACCUGGCUCAUUACUGACGCUGAGGCGCGAAAGCGUGGGGAGCAAACAGGAUUAGAUACCCCAGUAGUCCCUGUCUCUUAUAC